GAAGAGGGGUUUGCGUCUGAUUAGGUCAGUUGGUGAGGUAACGGCCCACCAAACCUACGAUCAGUAGCCGGUCUGAGAGGAUGAACGGCCACACUGGAACUGAGACACGGUCCAGACUCCUACGGGAGGCAGCAGUGGGAAUCUUCCGCAAUGGACGAAAGUCUGACGGAGCAACGCCGCGUGAGUGAUGACGGCCUUCGGGUUGUAAAGCUCUGUGAUCGGGGACGAAUGGCUGGUAUGCUAAUACCAUAUCAGAGUGACGGUACCCGAAUAGCAAGCCACGGCUAACUACGUG
rnacentral:rRNA from 1 species